ensembl:lncRNA
UUUUGCAUUCAUCAACAGUAUAUUCUCACAUAUAAGCCCACAUCAUAAAAGUAAUUUCAAUAUGGUAACAGUAAGUUAGUCUGUGGUUUUUGGUUGAGCCUUUGAAAUAUAAGCUUCGCGAAAUCUAUCGAUUUGGGGCUCGUGCCGAAAACCCACCUCCCCAUGGGCCGGCUGGCUGGUCUCCAGGGAUCGGCGGUAGUGUUUAGGGUUUAGUGUUUCGGUGUUCCAGUGUUUUAUUGUCUGCUGUUUUAUUGUCUGCUGUUUGCCGACACUCUCCUCCAAGCUGCUUCUCGAGUCACUCCAGAAGCUGACAUGACGCUUCAAGUUCACACUUCAACGCGUCGCAGUCCGCUGGAAGUAAGUCAGUAAGUAAAUGGGGAGGACAACAGAAGCAUGUUGGACCUGAAUCCUCUUCCGCUGAGACUUGACCCCUGUGACCUGCUGAUGGACUCGAUAGAUGUUCAACUGAGUCGACUUCAGGUGCAGAAUCAGAAAAACCAGGAGAGUUCAGGAGGUCUCAGUGGCUGUGAUGAAGCUCCUUUCAGGCGGCAGUGCUCAGGGAGCAGAGACACCGGCCUUGGAACACCAACCACCAGCCCCCCGAUAUCCUGUCUGCAGCCUGGGCCCCGCGAGGCCAAGGGACCGGCCCCAGGAAAGACGAGGCCGGACGUCUCUCAGGGAGCCCCCCCAUGCCCCCUCCAGAGGGGAGCGCAGCCUGGACGGGCCUGUAGGAGCAGGGAGCAGGAGGAGGCGGAGGAAGGGGCGGAGUCCCGCAGAGAGCAGUGCCUUUGGAGGCUGGGCCGCCUGCUAGGGGACCCCUUUGUUGCUUCAGGAGUAGGAAGGACUCCUGCUCCUCCUCCUCUACAGCCGGACAGCUUCUGCACCGAGGACCUCCUCCGUUGCUCCCCAGAGGAGAGUGUGGAGGGGGAGGAGGGCUGGUGGGCAGGAGGCCCCUCCCAGGGGGUCCGGGAGCAGGGAGACGUGGUGGACGUGACUCGGGGCGGACCAACAGGGUUCCUCGUGGAGGGCGGUAGGGGUGCACGUGUUCUUCGUCAUCCUCCUCUUCCUCAGCCACAGCCACCCCAGACCCACAGCCGGGACAACAUGUUGUGUUCUGAGGAACGCCACUCUUGUGAUGUUCAUCGGACGGAAGAAAGACAAGGAAGCGGAGAAACUAAAGCCGGGCAGAGACAGCGAGGUUCCCAGAAGACCUGCGAUUACAUCAGCAGCCGGUCCGGACUGUCGACUCCAGACACCCAGGGUAGGAUAGCCCUUCAGCAGCAGAUGGAGGCUAACCUCUGGCCUCAGUCCUCCAGACCAGGCCCCGGUCCCACCAUGCAGCCACAAGGCUGCCCACCCUGAGAGCAGAGGACGGCGGAACAAGGGGCCUUGUCCUGAGCCCAGAGGUCUGGCAGGUGGAGCGAUGUGGGGGUCUGACUCCGUCUGCCCUCCGCCAUUCCCUCAGACCCUCUGCAGCAGGACAGGAUGGCCGUCGUUCAUGCCAUCCAUUCAGAACACGGAGGGCUACUGCAGCGACCGGAGUGAUGACCACACACCCACACCAGCUCCCGGAAAAGGAGGUGACGGAGGUUCAGCUUUCCGCCAAGCAAGGCAGACUAGGAGAGCCACCCCCAGGUACGGGCGCUCUACGGGUGGGGAUGAGGGUGAUGAGGACACAGACGAAGGGCACUGCAGCCGCAGGAGUAAGAACCAGAUGACCCUAGAAGUCCAGUUGGAGAAGAUGAAAUGCGAUGGGUCCAGGAUGGAGGAUGUUCUCAGGACUCUCCGCCAUAAGUGUGAAACAGAGGAGGGGAAACUGGAGCUGAGAAGAGAAGCGCUGCGUGAGUCAGAGUCUUCCAUCUCUGACGCUCAGCAGAAAACAAAGCAUGCUUUGCAGGAGCUGGCCCAGAUUUGUACCGAGACAGCACAGAUGGAGUUGGAGGGACAGAAACUGGACACCCGUCUGAGGGAAAGAAAGCCCAGAUGUAGGAACUCCCCGGGGUUAAACCGGCGACUGUGAAGUGAGGUUCUUCAGCUGUGUAGCCUGAGGAGCGAGUCCUGUCUCCAGCCAAUCGGGGACAUGGAGGAGGAGCCUGGAAAUCUGCGCAGAAUGACCCAAGAUGGCUGCCACGCUGAGACGAAAGCGCCGGGUUUGGUGGUGUCCAUCUUGGAGAGGCUGGAGACGGAGCGGCAGCUGGACUCCACCAAAACCCAACUGUUUGCAGAGAAGCGACGCUCUCGGGACAAGCUGGACUCCAUGCAGGAGCGGUUGGAUGAGGCUGAGGAAGAGCUCCAGAGGGCCAGAGAGGAGCAGGGCCUGCUGAGGUCCAGGAUUGAGGCUCUAGAGGAGGAACAGAGGCAGAAACAGGAGCUUGUGGUGGCUCUGCAGCGGGGGUCCGGGGGGCUGCGGGGCCAGCUGGUUGAGUGUAAGGAGAGGCUGGGCUCCCUGGAGAAGAUUGUAGCCCAAAAGGACCUUCAGAUAAUUUGCGCCCAGGAAGUGCAGGAGGCUCUGCGUGCUGCCAGAAACAGCCUACAGGGGGAGCUCCAAACAAUGACACUCCAGCACUGCAAGGUAGGCAAGAUGGUGGCAGAAGAGAAAGACCUCGCUUUGAGGGAACAGGCUGAGGUGUUCACACGGCAGCUGGAGUCUGCUCAAACCUCCCUGAAGCUGAGCGAGGACGUGGCCAGGGGGCUGAGGGGGGCUCUGCACCAGCAGGAAGAGACUGGGAAGAAACGGGAAGAGCAGAUGCAUGAUGAAGCCAAAGAAAAGGUCCGGAAGGCUUCAGAGGUGGAGAAGGAGAACAUGGCUGCCCUGCAGCAGCUGCAGGAGAGGAACCAGGAAGCGCUGGAGGGAGCUAGGCGUAACCUUGAGGAGGAGAGGAAGAACUCUCAGGCUCUUCAGAAACGCGCGGCCGAGCUGCAGACUAAGGUAGAGGAGCUGGAGGGAGCGUUCUGUUUUCAGAAGAGAGAGCAGGACGCGGCGCUAGCCAUGCUACACAGCUCGCUAACGGAGGAGCGCCGUGCCGAGCUAAAGCGACAACGCAGACACAUGGAGCAGGAGCUUGCUGUGAGGCUGCGAAGGCUGGAGGAGACAGGCCAGCUGGCGCAGAGGGAGGCAGAGCGACUGCGCCGGGAGAUGGGUGAGAGGGAGGAGAGCCACCAGAGGACCACAGCCAUGCUGGAGCAGCAGCUGAGACAGGUCACCCAGGGGCUGGUGGCCGAGGGCCAGCAGCUCUGCCUCCUGGUGGACCAGGGAGGAUCCAGAGGAGAGCCCACGCAGCUCCCUCAGAGUCCUACUGCAGCCCAGGCCUGCCAGUACCUGCACGAUCUGAGGGUGCAGUUGCAGAACUUCAUCCACCAUCUUCUCCAGGAGCUGCAGUCUCAGAAACAGAACGCUUCCAGACUGAAGCACGCCCAGGAGCAGGAGUUGUGUAUCCAGAGGGAGAAGAUGGAGAUGGAGAAACAGCAGGCCUUGCAUUCCCUGAAGGAGCGUCUCAUUCAGGAGCACGUGGAGGAGUUGAGCAGCGUGAGGCGGGGGCCCGGGGCCUCCCUACGAAGGCAACGGCAGGCCACAGACCAGGAAGUGAGGCAGGUCCAGAGCAGCAGGGGCCGGUUGAAGAGCCUGACCGGGUCUGAGGAGAAGCUCCCAGCUGAGGGGGAGAGACGGAUCGGUAGGAGCCAAGAGAGGAAGCCCAGGAGGCCUGAUGGAGCGACGAGCCUGGCGGGCGAGGCGUCGGGCGACUCUGGGGGACAUCGGCUGGUGGCAGACCCCUCCUGCCACGCACCCGGGUCUCCCCCCCGCCCAGCCUCUGACCCCGCCUCCCUGAGGAUCCUUCACCACCUCCGGAGCCGGAUCCGAGAGCUCCGCGCCGAGGGCCAGAGCGGCCCCUCCCCCGCUCCGCCCAGGCAGGGCAGCGACCUUUUGGGGUCCUACCUAGAGACGGUACGGCCCCCGGUGGAGAGGACUCGGACCGCCUGUCCCUUAGUAAGCUGAGGGCUUACUAGUCUGACAUUCAGUUUACUAUCCUGUGAUGAGACAUUGGUAUCUUUUUUUUUGACCUUAUUAAAGAAAAUGUGUGAAACAUUGCAAAAGACAUCACAUUCACGUUAAAUGGACGACUAUUAGCCAUAUUAGGAUUUAUGAGUUCAUAGCGCAGAGGGAUGAGCCGCUCAUUUGGGGACUGAAAGGUUGCUGGUUCAUUUGGAGCAACCAUCUUUGAUUCUCUGAGGAAGAGUUGGUUGCGUCGAACUUGAAGGGCAAUGGCCGCAUAAGGUGUUCAGAUGUAAACCGUCAGCUCAGCAGUACGUUGACUAGGA